CACGCCUAGGCCUCACUCUUAUUUGUGUUUCUCUCUUUUCCUUCACACCACUACAUUCGAAAGUUCCGAUACAAAAGAAAAUUUCCUUUUUUGUUACUUUAAAUUUUGGUGUCUAAAAAAGUUGACUAUCCAAUCAAAAGACAUUUAGAGUUUGCCAAAAGAUUUUUGUUUUUAGUCCACCUUUUAGACAUGUCACAGAAAAUUAUUAUUCAAGUGAAGGGAUUGGUGAUCAAU